GACGAACGCUGGCGGCGUGCUUAACACAUGCAAGUCGAACGGAAAGGCCCUGCUUUUGUGGGGUGCUCGAGUGGCGAACGGGUGAGUAACACGUGAGUAACCUGCCCUUGACUUUGGGAUAACUUCAGGAAACUGGGGCUAAUACCGGAUAGGAGCUCCUGCUGCAUGGUGGGGGUUGGAAAGUUUCGGUGGUUGGGGAUGGACUCGCGGCUUAUCAGCUUGUUGGUGGGGUAGUGGCUUACCAAGGCUGUGACGGGUAGCCGGCCUGAGAGGGUGACCGGCCACAUUGGGACUGAGAUACGGCCCAGACUCCUACGGGAGGCAGCAGUGGGGAAUAUUGCACAAUGGGCGGAAGCCUGAUGCAGCAACGCCGCGUGCGGGAUGACGGCCUUCGGGUUGUAAACCGCUUUCGCCUGUGACGAAGCGUGAGUGACGGUAAUGGGUAAAGAAGCACCGGCUAACUACGUG
rnacentral:rRNA from 1 species